rnacentral:ncRNA from 2 species
AAACAGGCUAUGAAUGGGACAGUACAGCUUACAGAUGCUUAUUCAGCGAACCGGGGAUGGUGGGAGCCCGGAAAAGCAGGAUGCUGGAACAUCACCCAUGAGUCCCGCACUGAAAGGCUUCUGGCCGAUUAAGCUGCGGCGUCCCUUCCGCGUUAAGGAGUUUAUGAGCGGGCAAUAACCUUAUUGCCUAUCAGGGUGGUACCGCGGGAAAGCAAACCUUCUCGUCCCUAUU